rnacentral:lncRNA from 1 species
AAGUGUUCACGCUUGGGUUAAGGGCAUACUGCAAGGUUGCCUAAACGAUUUGCCAGCAUAUCAGUGGUUAACAGUUCUCUCAUUAAAUUUGUGCAUCUUCCAUAAUAAUGAGGACAUUGUUUGAGUUGCGAAGCUUACAAUUACUUCAUUAAUACAAGCAUAUCCACAGCAAGUUAUAUUGAUGAAGACUGUCAUUAAAAAUCCACGGGGGCAGCCAAGUGGGAUGCUGCUUCUGGGAUAAUCCAAGCUGCACAACGAGGUUUCCAGAGUGGUAAGGAUACUGGCAACUUUUUUGGUCAAUUUGGAAGACUAACCAAUCAAUGGAACAGACCUUGUUUCAUUCUUGGACAGCCAAAGGUCGGAACAGUUAGCACAUCAACCGGAUUGGGUUUCCUGAAGUGUAUGAUGUUUCUAGAAGUCAUCAUACCUUAACAAGCACUGACUGUCACCUUUCAAGUUUUGCAGGUCCUCCACAGUGCAACAUCUCCUCAGAUUUUGCAGAUCCUUAUCUAGUCACCUUUCCUAGCGCGAUAUCCCCCUCUCCAUUUCUAGUAAUUUUUCUCUUUCCAUUUUCUACCAUUCUGUAUUCCAGAUCCGAAGUCCUAUCAGAAUCAUGAAGAAAGAAUAACAGGCGGCAGGAAUCGGGUUCUCGCCGACAUUUGCUGAAACCAAAAUCAAAGAAAAUUACGAAACGAAAAGAUGGAGGCAGCCAACAAGACCAUUGAUCUGUACGUUCAAUGGCCUACAGACAUCAGAAAUCUACCUUAAGAACUCCCGGUCGCGCGCUGCGAUCAACAUAAGGUAUUUUAGUAUGACAGGAGGGAGACCGACCAUUACCUGGGACAGCCGGAGGACAGCUCCGCAGCAGGGGGAGGGGGAAGGAAUCAAUCAAUAAGCGGAAAUAGAGAGGCAGGGAACGCCGAUAGGGACUGCCAGAGGAAGCGGCGGCGGCCGGUGGCGGGGCGGAAGCGGGCCGGGCGUUCGAUCGCCGUCUGCCUGACGGUCGCUGGGUAUUUGGGCGGAAGGAAGAAAAUAUAACUGGGCCAAUAUCACUGGGCGGCCAGCUUGACCGCCACCACCUCUGUCUCUGUCUCUGUCUCUGUCUGUCUGUCCGUCCCUCUCUCUCUCUC